rnacentral:rRNA from 1 species
UACGUAGGGUGCGAGCGUUGUCCGGAAUUAUUGGGCGUAAAGAGCUUGUAGGCGGUUUGUCGCGUCUGCUGUGAAAUUUCGGGGCUCAACCCCGAACUUGCAGUGGGUACGGGCAGACUAGAGUGUGGUAGGGGAGACUGGAAUUCCUGGUGUAGCGGUGAAAUGCGCAGAUAUCAGGAGGAACACCGAUGGCGAAGGCAGGUCUCUGGGCCAGCUACUGACGCUGAGAAGCGAAAGCAUGGGGAGCGAACAGG